ensembl:lincRNA Gm16195 predicted gene 16195
GGCGUGGUGGCGCACGCCAUUAAUCCCAGCAUUUGGGAGGCAGAGGCAGGUGGAUUUCUGAGUUCGAGGCUAGCCUGGUCUACAAAGUGAGUUCCAGGACAGCCAGGGCUACACAGAGAAAUCCUGUCUCAAACAAACAAAAGUUCCAGAAUAGCAGAUCGUCCUGACACAGCCCCAGGGACACUGAGAAGCUAGGGAAAUGUGGGUUUGAAGACCACAGGAAAACCCCAAACUAUCUGUCACCCAUAGGAGGCAACUAGUUGUCACAGGAAAAAGUCAGAAGAGGGCCUAUGUCCUUUUGAGCCUCACGAGGAGGAGGAAUUUCUGAGUGAAACAAGGAAACUCGGGAGCCGUGGGAGACAGAAGCAUUGCCUGGGAAGACUGCGGGGAGGGUGUGGAAGAGGAAGGAGGCCAACUGUACCUCCGGGUCCGCAGCUGCUGC